rnacentral:sRNA from 1 species
GGUGAGUACGUCUUCGGGAUACGCCUUCUGGUAUUCCCGGAGAAAGUAGCGGAC